GGAGGUAGUGACAAUAAAUCACAAUGCGGAACUUCUGUUUUGCAAUUGGAUUGAGAACAACGCACAACACUUAUCGAUAAACAAUUGGAGGGCAGGUCUGGUGCCAGCAGCCGCGGUAAUUCCAGCUCCAAUAGCGUAUAUUAACGUUGUUGCAGUUAAAAAGCUCGUAGUUGAAGUGAAGUAAUGAAGUUGUGACUUGAUUUAUCAUUUCGCUCCUUAAUUACUCUUUCCAAACUGUUUGCACGGGUAUUCAUUUACUUGUGUAUUGCAUUUGGUCGUUUACUGUGAGAAAAUUAGAGUGUUCAAAGCAUACGUUUGUUUGAAUACAUUAGCAUGGAAUAAUUCGAAAAGGCUUUCAUGUUCGAUUUGAUUGGUUUGUUCGUGAGAGCAAGAUUAAAAGGGACAGUUGGGGGUAUUCAUAUUCAAUAGUCAGAGGUGAAAUUCUCGGAUUUAUGGAAGAUGAACAAGUGCGAAAGCA
rnacentral:rRNA from 1 species